GAGCGUCGCGGUGUGGGGUUUGGGUUUGGUGGGAGGUUACGUGUCACGGGUCACAGCUAUGAGAUGUCACUUCCCUCCACUCUAGCCCGGGCUGGAGCCAGUGGGGAGGUCACGCAGGUCGUUGUUACAGACUCAGAUUUGCAGUCUGGUCCAGCGCACCGCUGUGCGCGCAGCCACGCGCGGGGCUGCCCUCCUCCGCUCACGUGUGGGCGCGCAGAGACGCGGGUGACCGUACCACGCACCCACAGGGUGCAGACGCGUGCCCACAGACAUGGGCGCAGCACAGGACGCGGACACCCAGCCGCGAGCAUCCUCGCCCUGGCGCUAUCACCCCCUCGGAGGCGAUAGGGGUGGGGACGCCCUAACCUUCUUGUGACCGCACUUCUCCUCCAUCCCGGGCUGGAACUCGUCUUUCCCCUGGGAGUCCCAGGGAGGAGAAGUGCGCCCUCCCCCGAGGCAGGACAUUGGGACAGGGGUGCUGGCAGCGAGCCCCGCCACCCCUCGCUUACCUUCGUCGCGAGGCCAACUCUUGGGCUUGACUGCGUCGCGAUGGGCAAGGCGCGCGGGGUGGUUGGCGCUGGAGCAGGCGCAGACGCCCGUCCGUGGGUGUCCCGCGAGGCGCCCCAGCUGUCAAGGCAGCCGACUAGACCCCCACGGCCAGGGCAAACCCCGUCUGCCGGCCUCCGCCUGGCUCCGCUGCGGGGACAGAGGCGCCCCGCAGCGUUUCCCAAAGGCCCAAUCCGGAGCGGGGGGCUGGCCCGGGGCAGCGAGGAAAGGAGGGCGGUCGGGCACCGGGACGCAGGCCUGGACCUGCUGUCUACUGGUCUCCCCACUGAGACCCUGGGGAGAGAAGAGGGCUGGAGAUUGAAUUGAGUUCAGUCACCAAAGACCAACGGUUUAAGCAGCCCAGGUUAUGGAGUUUACAGUGUGGUGCUGUGUUGGUGAACACAACGUGCUGGGAGGGUGAGCAGGUAAGUACAUAGAAACCCUGACUGCCUACUUGACACUACCACCUUACUUAUUCAUCUCAUCCAUUUGAUUGUUCCUGAGUUGCAUACUUUUAAAUAAAACUGCAAUUGUAAAGUAUUGUACCUUUCUG
rnacentral:lncRNA from 1 species